CAGCCGCCGCGGUAAUACGUAGGUGGCAAGCGUUAUUCGGAUUGAUUGGGUGUAAAGGGUGUGCAGACGGCUUAUUAAGUCACUUGUUAAAUUCUUCGGCCUAACUGAAGGUCUGCAAGUGAUACUGAUGAGCUAGAGGGUGGAAGAGAGAAGUGGAAUUCUCGGAGUAGCGGUAAAAUGCGUAGAUCUCGAGAGGAACACCAAUGGCGAAGGCAGCUUCUUGGUCCAUUCCUGACGUUCAUACACGAAAGCGUGUGGAGCAAACAGGAUUAGAUACCCCCGUAGUCCCUGUCUCUUAUAC
rnacentral:rRNA from 1 species